AUUGAACGCUGGCGGCAGGCUUAACACAUGCAAGUCGAGCGGGGUGAUGGUGCUUGCACUAUCACUUAGCGGCGGACGGGUGAGUAAUGCUUAGGAAUCUGCCUAUUAGUGGGGGACAACAUCUCGAAAGGGAUGCUAAUACCGCAUACGCCCUACGGGAGAAAGCAGGGGAUCACUUGUGACCUUGCGCUAAUAGAUGAGCCUAAGUCGGAUUAGCUAGUUGGUGGGGUAAAGGCCUACCAAGGCGACGAUCUGUAGCGGGUCUGAGAGGAUGAGCCGCCACACUGGGACUGAGACACGGCCCAGACUCCUACGGGAGGCAGCAGUGGGGAAUAUUGGACAAUGGGGGGAACCCUGAUCCAGCCAUGCCGCGUGUGUGAAGAAGGCCUUAUGGUUGUAAAGCACUUUAAGCGAGGAGGAGGCUCUUUUGGUUAAUACCCAAGAUGAGUGGACGUUACUCGCAGAAUAAGCACCGGCUAACUCUGUGCCAGCAGCCGCCGUAA
rnacentral:rRNA from 1 species